rnacentral:rRNA from 1 species
UACGUAGGGUGCAAGCGUUAAUCGGAAUUACUGGGCGUAAAGCGUGCGCAGGCGGUUUUGUAAGUCUGAUGUGAAAUCCCCGGGCUCAACCUGGGAAUUGCAUUGGAGACUGCAAGGCUAGAAUCUGGCAGAGGGGGGUAGAAUUCCACGUGUAGCAGCGAAAUGCGUAGAGAUGUGGAGGAACACCGAUGGCGAAGGCAGCCCCCUGGGUCAAGAUUGACGCUCAUGCACGAAAGCGUGGGGAGCAAACAGG